rnacentral:rRNA from 1 species
ACGGAUAACAUACCGAAAGGUAUGCUAAUACAAGAUAAAAUACUUUUAUCGCAUGGUAGAAGUAUCAAAGCUUUUGCGGUACAGGAUGGACCCGCGUCUGAUUAGCUAGUUGGUAAGGUAACGGCUUACCAAGGCGACGAUCAGUAGCCGACCUGAGAGGGUGAUCGGCCACAUUGGAACUGAGACACGGUCCAAACUCCUACGGGAGGCAGCAGUGGGGAAUAUUGCACAAUGGGCGAAAGCCUGAUGCAGCAACGCCGCGUGAGCGAUGAAGGCCUUCGGGUCGUAAAGCUCUGUCCUCAAGGAAGAUAAUGACGGUACUUGAGGAGGAAGCCCCGGCUAACUACGUGCCAGCGGCCGCGGUAAUACGUAGGGGGCUAGCGUUAUCCGGAAUUACUGGGCGUAAAGGGUGCGUAGGUGGUUUCUUAAGUCAGAGGUGAAAGGCUACGGCUCAACCGUAGUAAGCCUUUGAAACUGGGGAACUUGAGUGCAGGAGAGGAGAGUGGAAUUCCUAGUGUAGCGGUGAAAUGCGUAGAUAUUAGGAGGAACACCAGUUGCGAAGGCGGCUCUCUGGACUGUAACUGACACUGAGGCACGAAAGCGUGGGGAGCAAACAGGAUUAGAUACCCUGGUAGUCCACGCCGUAAACG